rnacentral:ncRNA from 2 species
GCAACGUCAUAACUCCGAGCCUUAAGUGCUAAGUUCAACAUUGAUACAGCAAAAGCGUAUUAAUGAGAAUAGGUAGCUAAGGCCGUGACAUACUGUCACCAGGGUUGGCUUAGAAAUGAGUUAACCUCCCGCAUUUGGAAAGGUGUUUCAUGACCUCAAUA